rnacentral:rRNA from 1 species
GAUGAACGCUGGCGGCGUGCCUAGUACAUGCAAGUCGAGCGAACGGACGAGAAGCUUGCUUCUCUGAUGUUAGCGGCGGACGGGUGAGUAACACGUGGAUAACCUACCUAUAAGACUGGGAUAACUUCGGGAAACCGUAGCUAAUACCGGAUAAUAUUUUGAACCGCAUGGUUCAAAAGUGAAAGACGGUCUUGCUGUCACUUAUAGAUGGAUCCGCGCUGCAUUAGCUAGUUGGUAAGGUAACGGCUUACCAAGACAACGAUGCAUAGCCGACCUGAGAGGGUGAUCGGCCACACUGGAACUGAGACACGGUCCAGACUCCUACGGGAGGCAGCAGUAGGGAAUCUUCCGCAAUGGGCGAAAGCCUGACGGAGCAACGCCGCGUGAGUGAUGAAGGUCUUCGGAUCGUAAAACUCUGUUAUUAGGGAAGAACAUAUGUGUAAGUAACUGUGCACAUCUUGACGGUACCUAAUCAGAAAGCCACGGCUAACUACGUG